CCAUGGCCUUUGUUUUCUGCUCCUGUCUGUGGGGUUUCUGGGCAUCAGUGGCUGGUCCUCGGGACGUGUCCCCCAGGGGCCUGGGCAGACUGGCUAAAGGGGGACAGGGCUGGGUGCCUUAGGGGUCUCAGAGACUCUCCAUUUUCUGAUGCCUUUUGAAAAUUGGUCUAAUGUCAACAUGCCGGACAUGCUGCGGGCCAUGGGUGUGAAGGGCCAGGCUCAGGUGAGACGCCAGGCAGGACCCCGGGGCCACAUGACAGUGUGGGCUGUGGUGGGAGACGCUUGGCUGUCAGAACCGCGGCGUCGGUGAAGGAGCGGGCCUCGGUAACUGCCUGCAGAGCCGCAGAACACCGCACGGAGAGGGCAGGGAAAUAUUUUCUUUAGAAUUAUGAGUUAUGUUCUGUGCUGGAUUGUAUUUAAAAUUCUUUGUUGGUUAGGAAGAGAACUUUCUGGGUGCGGAGGGACUUGGAGUCCUGGUCUUGGUGAGAGUGGGGUCCCGGGCCCCCUGAAACAGCGGGCGCCGGGGGUCUCCGGGAGGACAGCUUCUGAGAGAAGAUGCUUCAUUCCUCUUACAAGGCGCGCUUACUAAAUAUUGAAAGACAGGAUAUCUUGGAAGUGGCUGCUGAGUGACUUUAAAAUGAGAGAGAUUUUCAAGUAUAUUUAAUUUUUUUAAUCUUAUCAUUCAAUUAACAACUAUAGUCACGUCUUUCUGGAGUUGACCGUGGUGCGUGUUGAGUGGAGAAACAGUAAGGGGUGCAGGCAGCUCCCCGCUUCGGGGCUGAGUUUCGACAAUAAUAAAUUAAGCUUGUUUUUUGAAUUAGUCGAGCGGUGCUUGGAGCGGAUGGUGCUGAGCUGGUGAAUGUGGCUGCAUGCGGGCCUCGGACGCCUGCAGCAGGUGGCAGGAAGCAGGUCGCAUCGAGAGUCUAUUUUAGGAAGCAAGAAAACAAGAUUGGCAAAUUUAUAGUUCACGGUUAUGCAGGAGUGGUUUUCGGAUAGUUUUGCCCCAGAGAUCUGAAAGCGUUCCACCGAGCAAAACAGCACCUGGCUGAUUUGCAUUUCUAAAAUAAGGUGAAGACCCCUGAGAGAAACUAGAAGCUUCCUUUUUUAACUGUUUGAGUUUAAUUUCUCAGUCUUAGCUUACCGAGUUUUAAUUUGUUCAAACUUAGCUUAUCAACUUUUCAUUCAUAUUCAUUUUCAAAGCAAGGUGUUUAAGAAAUUAAACAGCUUUAGGGGCAGUUUGUCAAGGCAUUCCUGUAACUUUUUUUUAAUUGUUAGUCCUUCAAAUGGUACUUAACUGAAACCAUUUCCAACGCCCCAAAGCAUUGCUUUUAGGAUGGCUGUGUUCACAAAUUUAGAGUUAGCUGAUUUUCUCUUCAUGAUUAAGAGACACUUUGACAUUCUGAUAGAGUUGCCUUGUUUCAGUAUUUUUCAAGACUACUUUUCAAGUAUUCACCUUAGGACAAAUUUCAGGUGAAAUGUGUAUAAUUGUCUUGAGUUGUUUCAGUUAAAUUAUUAACUGAAAUUAUGAACUUGAAUUAUUUCAGUUAAAUUCUUAACUGAACAAUUAAAUUGCUUCCGUUAUGUUAGCUGGUGGAUUAAGUGGAAACCUAGUCAGGCGUCGAACCGGGGGAACUCAGGGGCCCUUCAGAAGGACGGCUUCUGCUCUGAGGCAUCGGCCCAACUUAGUUGAAGGAGCUCGGUGGAGGGUCUGAGAGGGCGCCCGCCAGGCCCGCCGUGGCUGGGGUCCCUGGGACCACCUGGAGCCAGGAAUGCGUGGUCGUGGCUUCUGCCGCCAGGCCAGCCGGCUAGUCACGAAUCAGCCGUUUGGGAUGGAUUUGGAGGAAUUCUUCCAUGCCAAAGACCCCACGGGAGUCUCCAGUGACCAGGCACCGAGACGUCUCCAAGCAAGCCCCAUUAAUCUUGCCCUUGGCUGCCUGCUGCAAAGACACCAAGACUACUAACAUCACACUGGGCUGCCUGGUCAAGGGCUACUUCCCGGAGCCAGUGACCGUGACCUGGGAUGCAGGGUCCCUUAACCGGAGCACCAUAACCUUCCCUGCCGUCUUUGACCAAACCUCUGGCCUCUACACCACCAUCAGCAGGGUGGUCGCCUCGGGGAAGUGGGCCAAGCAGAAGUUCACCUGCAACGUGGUGCACUCCCAGGAGACCUUCAACAAGACCUUCAACGCAUGCAUCGUGACCUUCACCCCACCCACCGUGAAGCUCUUCCACUCCUCCUGCGACCCCGGCGGCGACUCCCAUACCACCAUCCAGCUCCUGUGCCUCAUCUCCGACUACACCCCUGGCGACAUCGACAUCGUUUGGCUGAUAGACGGGCAGAAGGUCGACGAGCAGUUCCCUCAACACGGCCUCGUGAAGCAGGAGGGCAAGCUGGCCUCCACACACAGCGAGCUCAACAUCACCCAGGGCCAGUGGGCGUCCGAAAACACCUACACCUGCCAGGUCACUUACAAAGACAUGAUCUUUAAGGACCAGGCCCGCAAGUGCACAGAGUCUGACCCCCGCGGUGUGAGCGUCUACCUGAGCCCGCCCAGCCCCCUCGACCUGUACGUCUCUAAAUCGCCCAAGAUCACCUGCCUGGUGGUGGACCUGGCCAACGUGCAGGGCUUAAGCCUGAACUGGUCCCGGGAGAGCGGGGAGCCCCUGCAGAAGCACACACUGGCCACCAGCGAACAAUUUAACAAGACAUUCUCGGUCACGUCCACCCUGCCUGUGGACACCACCGACUGGAUCGAGGGCGAGACUUACAAGUGCACCGUGUCCCACCCAGACCUGCCCAGGGAAGUCGUGCGCUCCAUCGCCAAGGCCCCUGGCAAGCGUUUGUCCCCCGAGGUCUACGUGUUCCUGCCGCCUGAGGAGGACCAGAGCUCCAAGGACAAGGUCACCCUCACCUGCCUGAUCCAGAACUUCUUCCCCGCGGACAUCUCCGUACAGUGGCUGCGUAACAAUGUCCUAAUCCAGACAGACCAGCAAGCCACCACACGGCCCCAAAAGGCCAAUGGCCCCGACCCCGCCUUCUUCGUCUUCAGCCGCCUAGAGGUCAGCCGGGCGGAAUGGGAGCAGAAGAACAAAUUUGCCUGCAAGGUGGUCCACGAGGCGCUGUCCCAAAGGACCCUCCAGAAAGAGGUGUCCAAAGACCCUGGUAAAUGAUGCCCUCUGCCCGCCGCCUGCCCACCCUCCCAGGGCUCCCUCCUGCUGGGGUGGAGGUGGGGGCCAGCCAGACCUGCUCCGGUCAUUGUCGUUGUCAAUAAACACUCCGGUGCCUGCUCAGA